UUUAAGGCAGAGCAACGCCCACAUCCACCUCACGUGACUCACUUUCCCUUCCACCUAAGCCAUCACCUGGGGAGAAGUAGAAAAGCUUGGGCUGGGCUGCUGCAGAGACUGCUGGGAAGACAACUCCUGUGGAAAGCGAAUGGCUGGUGCUGCCUUUCUGGAAGCUGUGGUUCCCAGCCUAAGCUUUCUUACUACGCUGCUCUCCAGCUCUGCCCUCCGAAUUGGAGACUUAAGGACAACAGAGCUCUGAAGAUGGUUAGUGUCAUCUAAACACAAUGAAGCUGCUGACUCGAUUUAAAUACACAUUGAAAUUUGGGAAAUAGAGAAAAAGAAAGCCAUCAAUGAUCCUUCAGGUAGAAUCUUUGGACAGUUUUCUGGAGAAAAUGGAUUUGGAUCAAAGGAGACGUCAGAACCAUGUAGUUGCUACUGAACCGUACAUUUGAAGGAGCCCCAUCAGAUUGUGCAUUUCUGACUUUACUCCUUUUCUCAUGUGAACUGCAAAACUAAAGAGGAACAUAAGAAACAAAAAGGAGAAAAAUUAUCAAAUGAUUGUAAAAGAAUAAAGAGAGUUAAACAAUGCAAAUUUCUGAUGUGUUAACAUUAAGAGAAAGAUGAAGAACAGCUUAAUAAUCAUAUUCAGAUAUUGGAAUACAGACAAGAAAAAGAUUAAGUCAUUCUUGUUUUCACUCUGAGACAAAUAAGAGAACGUGGGCCACAAGACGACAUGUUUGAAAUUCCGAUUCUUGUUCACCCGCUUUUCAAUCUACUGCUUCUGCCCCGCCAGGCUGCCUCGAGUUCUGGAAGGGUCACUUCAUUCCCUCACAGCACGUGGACCUCCAAUGCAGAUGUGCUGCUAUGACGCCUAGGGAAACAGAGUUUUACAACAAACUAGAACUGUAGGAGUGACUCCAAUGUUCAAGGUGGGUAGUUUUCAGAGAAGAGCUGCUGAAGAGACAACCCAGUAUGGAUGCACCACAAUGUUUAUUCUUGCAACGACUUCUGAAUUACUUGAGAUAACUUGACAAGUUUUUGUUCCUUGCAAACAGAAGAAUCAAGCAACCGUAGGCAUUAAACUUGAGAUACUACAUGUGGUGGUAAAGAUAGGUCUUCAUAUUGAUCAAGGAAUUAUACAGAGCUUCUCCAGCCUAUAGCCUCAGUUGCCCAAAUCCAUUGUUCACAUGUUUUCAACUUGAAGAUUCCAAGAGUUCCAGAGCAUAUCACAAGUGUCUGAAUAUCUGGUUCCAGGAGCUUACACUCUUGAAGAGGGUGGCAAGCACGGUAAUGAAGAAGUCUGUAUGAGCAGAGAGACAAAGUUUGAGUUUCGAAAGCAUUUUGGAGAAACAACUUUGAGAGUGUUGUUUUCUCCUUUCCUUCUGAAUGAGAAGAAAGACUAUAUCCAAAACAGCAGCCAGAGGACGGGGUGAAUCUUGAAGCCACUCCCUCCACCUCACACUCAUUCUUGUGUCUAGUUGUUUAUAGCAUCUGUUUGCACUUCAAAUUUGACUAUCUGUUGUCAACUUCAGCUCCACAUGAGGAAGAUAGAUUCCCCUUAAAAUUUUUCCUUACUUUUUCCUACUUGUGUAACAUCCGACUAACUGGAUAAAAAGGUCAUUUUGCUGACAGCUCAAGUAAGGACAUAAAAUGAUUUUCAGUGCAUUUCUCUUUUGAUCGACAUUUAUAUUUGGUUGUAAUAUCUUGCUGCUUCUUCAUAUAGUUCCGCCAGGCACUCUCCCUGUGUCACCUUCAGGACUGUCCUAGGUGUCAUUUCUUCUAGAACUCCUUCUGGAACUGUCACUGCACAGGAUAUUCUUUCAAUACUUUUCUUCUCAUCCACGGAGCCUCUGCCCUGGCAAUCUAUCCUCAUCUCCAUGGUCAAAGGCGUUUUAGCACAUACCACACCCACUCCCAGCCCCUGGAAAUUUAUAUCCGUCUUCCCUUCCCACCAUACAUCAAGUCCCAGGUCCUUAUUUUAUACAUCAAAAUACUCCUGCUAAGUAAUAUGUAUUUCUUCUUCUUUUUCUAUUUUUAAAUCCAAUUUUCUGAACUUAUUCCCUGGAAGCCUAAUGUCAGUUUGUCUUUACUCCCAUCUUUGAGUUUUUUCCCCUUUCAAAGCAAUGCCUGAAAUUAUUUUCCUCUAAUGGCUGCCAAAAUCUCUGACUUUCUCUCUCUCUCUCUCCUUAAAUAGUGUCUAACUAUAUUUCACUUAUUUCAGAAAAUCUUUCUGGAUUGAUCAUUAAGGAGUUAACAAUGUUGCUUAGUUUAUUAUGCGUGUGGCUAUUUCUCCCAUUUUCCCCCUUUCUUUAGAUUUACCUUCUUGAUAAAUGUUAUGCUUUAUUUUGAUAUAGUGUACUUUUAUCAUUGUCUUUCAUAUGGUGGCCACACAUUUUCACUCUCCUCCUGAUACACAUAUAUCAGUAAGAAUUCUUGGUUUUAAGCAACAGAAAACACUUCCGAAUUAAGUCCAAAGUGAAAUUUUUGAUGGAUAUGGAGUAACUCUCAGAACCAACAACAAAAUUCUGGCUGGAGAUAGUGACAGAUACCAACAGAGGUAGGACAGCAGAAGAUAUGGCCACAUUCACAGCCGAAUAAAAGUUUGGUCAGAAUAUUUGCAUAGUCAUAGAAGGAUCUAGCAACCGGACUCUCCCUGACUCCACUGUGAAUUACUUCUAAAUUUUGCCCAAAUCUUCAGCUCCCCACCAAGAUUCCUAAUGUGAACACCAAUUAUCUGAGCAUAUGUUAGGUAUAAUCAAAUAGAACUUCAAUUGCACAAGGGUAAGGAGAAGCACCAUCAGACUCCUUGGCUUUCUGUUUUGGAAUUCAGAACACUGCCUCCUACGCACAGUGAUGGAGGAUUCCUCCUAAAUUGCAAGAAUGCUCAAAUAUUGGUGGUUAAAAAUCCACUGUUAAAGGGAUAUACACAUUACAGUAGCUUUCCACCUUUUGGUCACUACUUUAGAUUAUAGCCUAGGAAAUAGGAAACAUAUCUGUAUUAUUCUUAUAUGCUAUCAUCCCAGUUUUUAGGCAUGAUUUUAUGCUUUUGGACAAUGCUAUUAACAUGAUUCUUGCUUCAGUAUGAAUGCCUUUUUU
ensembl:lncRNA